rnacentral:rRNA from 1 species
UACGUAGGGUGCAAGCGUUGUCCGGAUUUAUUGGGCGUAAAGAGCUCGUAGGCGGUUUGUUGCGUCGGCCGUGAAAACCUGCAGCUUAACUGUGGGCUUGCGGUCGAUACGGGCAGACUUGAGUUCGGUAGGGGAGACUGGAAUUCCUGGUGUAGCGGUGAAAUGCGCAGAUAUCAGGAGGAACACCGGUGGCGAAGGCGGGUCUCUGGGCCGAUACUGACGCUGAGGAGCGAAAGCGUGGGGAGCGAACAGG